CGGGGUGUAGCUCAGCCUGGUAGAGCACUGCUUUCGGGAGGCAGGGGCCGUGGGUUCAAAUCCCGCCACCCCGACCA
rnacentral:tRNA from 1 species